rnacentral:rRNA from 1 species
GAUGAACGCUGUCUACAGGCUUAACACAUGCAAGUCGAGGGGAAACGACGGGGAAGCUUGCUUCCCCGGGCGUCGACCGGCGCACGGGUGAGUAACGCGUAUCCAACCUGCCUCUGACUGAGGGAUAACCCGUCGAACGUCGGCCUAAUACCUCAUGGCAUUGUCUGCGGGCAUCCAACGUCGUUUAAAGAUUUCAUCGGUCAGGGAUGGGGGUGCGUCUGAUUAGCUUGUUGGCGGGGUAACGGCCCACCAAGGCUACGAUCAGUAGGGGUUCUGGGAGGAAGGCCCCCCACAAUGGAACGGAGACACGGUCCAAACGCCUACGGGAGGCAGCAGUGAGGAAUAUUGGUCAGUGGGAGGGAGCCUGAACCAGCCAGGUAGCGUGCAGGAGGACGGCCCUAUGGGUUGUAAACUGCUUUUAUGCGGGGAGAAAGUGAGUGACGUGUCCUUCAUUGCAGGUACCGCAUGAAUAAGGACCGGCUAAUUCCGGG